CCUACGGGUGGCAGCAGUCGAGAAUCAUUCACAAUGGGGGAAACCCUGAUGGUGCGACGCCGCGUGGGGGAAUGAAGUUCUUCGGAUUGUAAACCCCUGUCAUGUGGGAGCAAAUUAAAAAGAUAGUACCACAAGAGGAAGAGACUGCUAACUCUGUGCCAGCAGCCGCGGUAAUACAGAGGUCUCAAGCGUUGUUCGGAAUCACUGGGCGUAAGGCGUGCGUAGGCUGUUUCGUAAGUCGUGUGUGAAAGGCGCGGGCUCAACCCGCGGACGGCACAUGAUACUGCGAGACUAGAGUAAUGGAGGGGGAACCGGAAUUCUCGGUGUAGCAGUGAAAUGCGUAGAUAUCGAGAGGAACACUCGUGGCGAAGGCGGGUUCCUGGACAUUAACUGACGCUGAGGCACGAAGGCCAGGGGAGCGAAAGGGAUUAGAUACCCUGGUAGUC
rnacentral:rRNA from 1 species